AACUCUUCAAAACUCUAGGAUAUGCUACAUAAUAAAAACAAUAAUUUCAACAGAAAAUCAAGAUGUCACUGAAUUUUGUCAUGGAGCCACAAGAAUAACACAUCAAACAGAAGAAGUACAUGAGAAAAUUUUGGCUUGGUAUCCACUCACUUCAAUUCUCUCAUUUUAAGGAAUUAUGAAAAUUCUGAUGAUUUUUAAAACUCUCAUUUGUUGUGGCAUAUACAAACAUGCAUUGAUCCAUCACCACAGGGGCAUGUGAUGCAAUUGUGGACAAUGACACAUAAGACGACAUCUUCUAGGAAGAUUUUUCUAUACUCUUCAGACAAAAGGAAGAGAUGCCCUUUCAUCUAACCUUUGAACAGCCUUGUGAGAAGCUACCUGACGCUGCUGUUGUCAUCUUGUAAAGCUAGAGAGAUAACAAAUAUACUGAGAAUGGCAGAAAAGAGAGAUUCUGAACCAACCCCAUACAACCGUACCUCUAUAAAAGAAUUCUUGAUAAGUGACAUAAUGCAUUUUCCUUAUUGUUUAAGCCACUUUUACUUGGGUCUUCUUUUUCUUGUAGCUGAAACUGAUAUACACAUUGUUUCUUUCUAAUCUCCCCAUAUAUAAAUAUAAUCUAUCAAUAUGUUUAUUGAUUAUACUCGUAACUCAUAUAACCUUUUUU